CCUACGGGAGGCAGCAGUGGGGAAUAUUGCACAAUGGGGGAAACCCUGAUGCAGCGACGCCGCGUGAGUGAAGAAGUAAUUCGUUAUGUAAAGCUCUAUCAGCAGGGAAGAAAAUGACGGUACCUGAGUAAGAAGCCCCGGCUAACUACGUGCCAGCAGCCGCGGUAAUACGUAGGGGGCAAGCGUUAUCCGGAUUUACUGGGUGUAAAGGGGGCGUAGACGGAAGUGCAAGUCUGGCGUGAAAGGCGGGGGUUGACCCCCCGGACUGCUGUGGAAACUGUACGGUUGGAGUGCAGGAGAGGUAAGUGGAAUUCCUAGUGUAGCGGUGAAAUGCGUAGAUAUUAGGAGGAACACCAGUGGCGAAGGCGGCUUACCGGCCUGUAACUGACGUUGAGGCUCGAAAGCGUGGGGAGCAAACAGGAUUAGAUACCCCUGUAGUC
rnacentral:rRNA from 1 species